rnacentral:rRNA from 1 species
GGGGAAUAUUGCACAAUGGGCGCAAGCCUGAUGCAGCCAUGCCGCGUGUAUGAAGAAGGCCUUCGGGUUGUAAAGUACUUUCAGCGGGGAGGAAGGUGUUGAGGUUAAUAACCUCAGCAAUUGACGUUACCCGCAGAAGAAGCACCGGCUAACUCCGUGCCAGCAGCCGCGGUAAUACGGAGGGUGCAAGCGUUAAUCGGAAUUACUGGGCGUAAAGCGCACGCAGGCGGUCUGUCAAGUCGGAUGUGAAAUCCCCGGGCUCAACCUGGGAACUGCAUUCGAAACUGGCAGGCUGGAGUCUUGUAGAGGGGGGUAGAAUUCCAGGUGUAGCGGUGAAAUGCGUAGAGAUCUGGAGGAAUACCGGUGGCGAAGGCGGCCCCCUGGACAAAGACUGACGCUCAGGUGCGAAAGCGUGGGGAGCAAAC